GCCUCGGGCCGUGACUGGCGCUUGAGGUGGAUCACCACCGGGGAGCGGCCCGGCGGAGCGUGCCCACCGGCGCGACCGUGCCGAUGCCGUGCGCCUGGGCGAGAAAC
rnacentral:ncRNA from 1 species